GCCAGCAGCCAUAUCGCUCUGCAGCUCUCAACUGGCUACCCACUGGAGCUCAGCAGGGGUGAGCCUGGCCAGUACCUGGAUGGGAGACCUCCUGGGAAAGCUAUGGUUGCUGCUGGAA
ensembl:rRNA 5S_rRNA 5S ribosomal RNA